ensembl:snRNA U6 U6 spliceosomal RNA
GUGCGCACUUCGGCAGCACAUAUACAAAAAUUGGAAUGAUACAGAGAAGAUUAGCAUGGCCCCUGCACAAGGAUGACAGGCAAAUUCGUGAAGCGUUCCAUAUUUUU